CCAAGGCAGAACAAAGACUCACGAAAAGCCUUGGCUUAGUGUCUUGGCGAACCUGAAUCUCGGAAGAAGGAAGCAAGGAAGCUCCUCAAGGCGUUGCUAAUUUCCUCCGAACUCCUCUUGAAAGUAACGCCCUACCACUUGGCAAGCAUGUUGCCUACCCUUCUGUUAAUCAUCAUCGUCGGUAUAUUUAUCGCUAUCAUACUAAUAUUGUAUGAUACACAAAGGAACUGCAGACAUCACAGAACACUAGAAGAAAUGAGAGUAGCCAGGCAAGACAUUUUUUCUGAAGUAUAGAAAUUAAUGUAAAGCUAAUCACAUGUCCUUAAAUGUGAUUUGCUUGAUAAUAACAAAGGAGGAAAACCAAGCCUAUGGUCAUGAUUAUUUGUAAUUCUAAUUACUGAACAAUGCCUCAGUUUCCUGGGAAUAAAACACAUGUUAGUGUUCGAUAAGGAAUUUAAUAUACUACGUAGUUGAAAGGCGGUAAAUUCUCCUGCCAUGUAGGUGUAUCUGAUCUUGAAUAUCGAUCGAUUUUUCUUUUUUUUGUACGGUACGCCUUAGAUAUGACUUUUAAAGAAAAGAAUAUGAUUGCACAGAAUAUAUGUAUUCAUAUCCACGAGAUAGUUUAUUAUUUCUUUCAAUAAAUCAUGUUUUCUUCAAA
rnacentral:lncRNA from 1 species